rnacentral:rRNA from 1 species
AGUUUGAUCCUGGCUCAGGAUGAACGCUGGCGGCGUGCCUAAUACAUGCAAGUCGAACGAAUCUCUUUUAGAGAUGAGUGGCGAACGGGUGAGUAAUACAUAGGUAACCUGCCCCUGUGCGGGGGAUAACAGGAGGAAACUCCUGCUAAUACCGCAUAGCCAUGAGCACCGCAUGGAGCUCAUGCCAAAUAUCCUUUAUGGGAUAGCGCAGGGAUGGACCUAUGGCGCAUUAGCUGGUUGGCGGGGCAACGGCCCACCAAGGCAACGAUGCGUAGCCGGCCUGAGAGGGCGGACGGCCACAUUGGGACUGAGACACGGCCCAGACUCCUACGGGAGGCAGCAGUAGGGAAUUUUCGGCAAUGGGGGAAACCCUGACCGAGCAACGCCGCGUGAGCGAAGAAGGCCUUCGGGUCGUAAAGCUCUGUUGUAAAGGAAGAACGGCGCAUACAGGAAAUGGUAUGCGAGUGACGGUACUUUACCAGAAAGCCACGGCUAACUACGUGCCAGCAGCCGCGGUAAUACGUAGGUGGCGAGCGUUAUCCGGAAUCAUUGGGCGUAAAGAGGGAGCAGGCGGCCGCAAGGGUCUGUGGUGAAAGACCGAAGCUAAACUUCGGUAAGCCAUGGAAACCGGGCGGCUAGAGUGCGGAAGAGGAUCGUGGAAUUCCAUGUGUAGCGGUGAAAUGCGUAGAUAUAUGGAGGAACACCAGUGGCGAAGGCGACGGUCUGGGCCGCAACUGACGCUCAUUCCCGAAAGCGUGGGGAGCAAAUAGGAUUAGAUACCCUAGUAGUCCACGCCGUAAACGAUGGUCACUAAGUGUCGGGGGUCAAACCCCGGUGCUGCAGUCAACGCAAUAAGUGACCCGCCUGA